CAGUGUGGUCUGCAGGGCCCCAGUGGCCAUCUGGCCACAGUGCAGGUCAGGGCUUCGCCUUGCUGUGUGCCCGGUUCCUCCAGGUCGCAGUGUUGCCCCCUGCCUUUAGACGCCCUGUGACUUGUCUAACCGUUCUCCAAUUUUGGGUAGCUCCUGGUGUUCGGCUGUUGUACCUAUGCCUAGGGCAUGGCAUCAGGUGUAGGUUUUCUUUUUCUUGGGUCAGCACCCAGGAGGGUUGGUGGAUGACACGGUAGGUGCAGGUUUGCUUCAAGAGAAGCUGCCCAUCUGUUUCAUGGCCUUACUGUUUCAUUUUGCAUUCCACUAGCAGUUAAUAGUCUUCUAGUGGCUUCACCUCCUUGCUACUGAUGGGAAGUUUCAGUUUUAUUUCUAAGGAGCUUAAUAAGCUCCACAUGCACAACAAAAACUACACCAGGCACAUAGUACACAAAUUGCCUCAAAUUCGAGCUAAAAAUUUGAAAUCGGGGAGAUGAACAGGGAUCAGAAUGACAGAGUAGAAGACAGUGGAGCAAGAAGUCGCCCUCAGCCUGGGCACUGCCCAGGGAGAUAGAUAUCAAAAUGAAAGGCAAGAUAGGCUUCUGGACAUGUGGAACCCAGGAGCGUUUGGGUCAGCCUGUCUUCUUUCCCAGUGGUGCAGCACCACAGACUGGUGGGUUGGAAGGAGAGAGGAUCACUCUCCUUGGCUCAGGUCGUGGUCAAGGCUGGAGGCUCCCCUCCAGGGACGGCCCUCUUGCUGGCAGUCCCGUAGCCUCCCAGAGCAUCACCUGGCAAGGGCCAGGGAGCACCUGAGUGUUGUUUUUGUCCCUUCUUCUCAUAAAGCCGCCAGGGUUCAAUCACAGAGCUCCACCACGGCGACCUUAUCCAAUCCUGUUACCCCUCAAAAUGCCACCUCUAAAUGCCACGGUUGGAUCCAAUCUCCAUCCUCUUAAUACUUCAGAUGGGGAAGUUUCUGCCCUGUUAAUACUUCUGCAUGGGAAGCCUGGUGCGACACUUAACUUACAUCCAAACCACAGCAGCGUGCGUCCCGGAAGACCUGCACCACCAGGAUGUUAAGCAGGUCUUUCAGGAAGAAGGGAAAUGGCACCGCAGUACCGACUCACCAGGUGACAGCAGUGCCGGUGAAGAUGGAUGUGUAUGGGAGCAGUAGAAACAUCCAUUACCUCAAAGUACCUUCAAAGCAGCAGGCUGAAGACCAGACAUGACAAGGAGGUGGUGUGGGGUUCAGGAUCUGCGUAGCAGCAAAUGGUGUGCCAACUCAAGUGGAAGGAAGGUCGAGUUGCUGCAGGGGACUGUAAGUUUAUACUCCCUGAGAGCCAGUGCAGUCCUGCUGCAAGGCAGACUGCAGGCUACUCUGAUAGACCAGAAAUCAAGGAGUUACAGCUAGUGAGUCAACAGAAGAGAUGAAGAGGAAUGCUGGCAGCACCAUGUUAGUCCUAGGGGUGUCAGAAGGGAGGACACACGCAGAGGAGCACAGAGAAGACAAGACGAUAGAUUGGGCAAAUGAAUUAAAUAGACACUUCUCAAAAGAAAAACACAAAUCGUCCACAAAUAAAUGAAAAAAUGGGGCUGGGGCUCAGUAUUAGAGUGCUUGCCUCUAGCAUGCAUGAGGCACUGGGUUCGAUCCCCGGAACCACAUAAAAAAUGCUAAAUAAAGGUAUUGUGUCCAUUUACAACUAAAAGAAAUGUUUAAAGAAAAAAAAAAGUUCAACACCAUUAGCAAUUACGGAAAUGUAAGUCAAAGCUAUACUGAGGUUUCAUGAUACUCCAGUUACAGAGGAAAUGAGCAAGAAUAAAAAUGCUUGAGAGGGUAUGGAGAAAAAGCAACUCUUGCACUCUUGGAGAGAUUGUAAAUUAAUACAAUCACUAUGGAGAUUAGUAUGGAGGUUUCUCAGAAAACUAGGUGUGGUAACACUAUGAUCUUGCUGUGCCACUCUGUCCUGAAGAAUAAAAGUCAUCAUACUACAGUGGUACAUGCUCACCCUUGUUUUAUAGCAGCCUGCAAUAGCCAAACUGAAACCAGCUGAGGUGUCCAUCGCUGGAUAAAUGGUAAAGAAAAUGCGGUAUAUGUACAGUGUAGAGUUUAACUCAGGCAUAAAGAGCAAAAUGCCAAAGAACAACAAAAUUAUGUCAUUGGCAGAAAAACAGAUGGAACUGGAGAACAUCGUGUUAAGUGAAAUAAGUUAGACUCCGCAGGACAGGUUGCAUGGAUCCUCUCAUAUGGAAGCUAGAGAGGAGUAGGGCAGAGGAAGGAACUGAGGGGGAUUAGUAGAGCAGAGGAAAGGGACCUGGGAGCGGGGUGUGGGGAAGGAAGGAGGAGGUGCUGGAGAAGGGAAUGGACCACAUUGUGGAUAUGCUUGUAUGAAUAUAUUGCAACGAAUCCCACUAUUAUGCAUGAUUAUAAUGUACCAAUAAGAAUUUAAAAGGAAACACCCUUUCAAGACGCGUUACUUCCUCCAAUCAGAUCCCACCGCCUAGUUAACACCACCUCUCAGAGGUCCAUCUGCUAUCAGUGGAUUAGUCCACUGGUGAGGUCAGAGCCCUCCUGACCCAGGCGCUCCCCAAUGCCCCACAACUGAACACUGCCAAGUUGAGGGCUCAAGUCUUCAAUACGUGAGCCUCUGGGGAGCUGUUCCAGAUCCAAGCUGCAACAGUUACCUGAGGAGCACAUUGUCUAUAGGAGGAAGCAGAGUUUAAAAGUAAAGAGAUGAGCCGGGCUCUGUGGCGCACAUUUGUGAUCCCAGCUGCUCCAGAGGCUGAGGCAGGAGGAUCUCGAGUUCAAAGCCAGCCUCGGCAACGGCGAGGCGCUUGGCAACUCAGUGAGACCCUGUCUUGAAAUAAAAUACAAAAUAGGGCUGGGGAUGUGGCUCAGUGGUUGAGUGCCCCUGGGCUCAAUCCCCAGUACCAAAAAAAGUAAAAGAGAUGGAAGAAGAUAUCCUAAUGGCAAUCAGAAUACUGAUGGCAAGACCACGUAAGUGUCAGGAAAGGUUUCCAGGCAAAGUGCAUCUGGGAUAAAGAGGUCAGCUCCCAGUGACCAAGGGCAGUUCAUCUGGACAGCUGACCCAGAGCAGUGAUUGAAAGAAUCCCCAGGAGAAAGCCACAGUUACAGUCAGCUUUCUUGGUGCCCUCCCUCAGAGCCCACAGGGCAGGGGAGGACACUGGCAUCAGCCGAGGGACGCCAGCUGAGCAGCGUGUAGUAGUACAGGAUGCCCAGCCUCAGCGAAUGCAGUCUCCGGGAGGGAACUGGGUGUGGCCGUGCCCGGCCGAGUGCUGGGCCGGGAAACAGGCCUAACAGGUCCAAAUCAAGCAUGUUCUCUGAACAAUGGAAGUUCUAAAAAUCCACAACAGAAACAAAAGAGCAAGAGCUGGAAAAUAGCUUGAAAAUCCCCCAAAUAUUUAGAAAUGAAAUCAUAUACUUCUAAAUAAUUCCUGGGUCAGAAAAGAAAUCAAACACUUCAAAUGUUUCUUUUCUUUCUUUUUACAGGCUGGGGAUGUCCUUUAGCCAGCUCGCGUUGCUGGGACCAAGAGACCUUACAAGAGGAGUCUAGAGGAAGGAAGGUCCAUUGGGACUCAUGGUUUCAGAGGUCUCAGUCUGAAGACGGCGACUCCACUGCUCUGGGCCUAAGAUAAGGCAGAACAUCGUGGCAGAGAGCCAGGGUAGGAGAGCUGCUGAGCGCACGGUGGGGUCAGAAGCCAGAAGGAGCAAGGAGGGAGGGGCCUCAGGAAAGACGCCCCCUUCCAGGGCAGCCCCCAGUGACCCACCUCCUCCAGCCUCGCCCCACCUGCCUGCAGCUGCCACCCAGGUCACAGCGCUCACAGUCCAAGCACUUCACCUCCGAACAUUCCUGCAUAACAGGAGCUUUGGGGGGGACCCCUCACAUCCAAACCUUGGAACCCAGGGCCUCCUAGGCCAGUGUCUACUGCUAAGUCAUGUCCUAGCGCUAGAAAGCAUUUUUUNAAAAGAAAGAAAAAUAGAAAACAAAAACAAGUAAAAAAAAUCAAUGUAGCAAAAAUAUACCACAUUUUCUUUACCUAUUCAUCUACUGAUGGGCGCCCAGGCUGGUUCUGAAGAUUGGCUAUUGUGAAUUGUGCUGCUGUGAACCUGGGUGUGCAUGUGUCACUAUAGUAUUCUGAUUUUAAUUUUUGAGGAUAAAUCCCGAAGAGUGGUAUGGCUGGGUCAUUUGGUGCUUCUAUACCUAGUCUUUUGAGGAAACGCUGUGCUGCUUUCAAUGGUGGUUGUCCUAAAGUACAAUCCCAGCAACAAUGGAAAGGGUUCCUUUUCCCACACGUCCUCCCCAGCAUUUGGUAUUGUUUAUAUUCUUGAUGCCUGCCGUUCUAACUAGAGUAGGAUGGAAUCCCAGUGUGUAUUUGCUUCAUGCAAAAAUUCUUAAAUUCUGGACCGUGAAUAUAGCUCAGAGUGCUUACCUUGCAUGCACAAGGCCCUGGGUUCAGUCCCCAGCACCACACACACACACACAUGCACACACACACACAAAUCUUAAAUUCAACAAUGUGUAAAAAUAGAUAAAACCAAAUGAGGUCACAUGGGUGGGGUUCAUCCCAGGAUUACAAAUGUCGGGUUAACAUCCGAAAAUCAGUGCAAUAUUUGGUGUUAAUAGAAUGAAGGACAAAACCAUAUGGUCAUCUGACAGAUGCUCCCAUUCUUCUCACAACGUCAGGAGAACUGGGAGCAGGUAAAGGACAACUGCAUCCCUGUGCCCCCAGGAGCAAGAACCAGACAGGAAACUGCACUCAUGGCUUCUGUGGAGAGAGUCUGCUCAGGGAGCAGAACAGGAAGUGUCACUUUCCAUGCCACAUGGGGUAGGGGGACAGCAUGCCACCUAUGCAGAAAAUUCUACAGCAAGCAUAAUAAAAAGCAUGGAAUGGUUCUCAUGAUCAUCCACACAAGGAUACAAGGUCAACACACAAAGCACAGUAAUGUUUAUACACGUCAGCUAUUAACAGUCAAAUUGAAAUCAAAACACUAUCGUUUAUGGCAGCAUCACACAUAUGAAACACUUUGGGUUAAAUGUGACCAAAGAUGUAAAAGAGAUUUAAACUUUAAAUUGUAAACAUUGCUGAUAUUAGAAAGUCACUGGAGAGGUGUGUUGCAUUUGUGGUCAGAAGACUGCACACUGCAAUGUGUGUCCUCAGAUUGAUUCAAGAGAGAGAACCCUAUCUCAAGGUCAUCGGUGUUUUUUUUUUUUUUUUUUUUGUGAGAGAGUGUGAGUGUGUGUGUGUGAAAGGGAGAGAGAGAAAAUGGACAGGCUGACUCUAACUUUAUAUAGAAAUGGAAACAGAGCUAGACAAAAUAAGAGAAAAGAGCCAGUCGGAGGUCCCACACAACAUGAUUUCAGGAUUUGUGCACCUACGUUUUUGUUAUGGUUUGGAUGUGAGGUGUCUCCAAAAGCUCAUUUGUGAAACGAUGCAAGAAGGUUCAGAGGUGAAGUGAUUGGGUUAGGAGAGCCCUGCAAAACCUAACCAGUGCAUUGAUCCCCUGUGUGGAGUAACUGGGUGGUGACCCUGUGUGGGUGGGGGGUGGCUGGAGGAGUGGUCACUGGGACUGUGCCUUUGGGUUUAUAUUUUGUCCCUGGAGAGCAGAGCUCUGCUUCCCGGUGCCUUGUCCUGAGCUGCUGACCUCCACCGUGCCUUUCCUCUGGUGUCCUGCCUCAGCUGAGGCCCAGAGCUGUGCAGUCAGCUCCUGAAACCAAAUAAACUCUCCCUCCUGCGAAGCUGUUGUCAGGUCUUUUGGUCGCAGUGGUGAAAAGCUGACUAGAAUGCCAAAGAUCCAUGCUUCCACAAUACAUCGACCUUUUUUUAAAUUUUCAAAGGUGCAGAAAUGAUUAAUAGCCAAGAAUGAUCCUUUACAGAUGGUGCUGGAAUGCUCCUAUAUCCGUAUAUUGGAAGACGGAGGCUGUUCCUGCCUUAACUAUUCACAAGCCUAACUCCAGGUGGGCCACAGACCUGUAGAACCAUCAGGAGAUGACCUUGGUGAUCUCAGGUCAGGCAGGGGCUUCUUCGAUGUGGCACCAAAAGUGUGAUCCCAGAGAGAGAGGGAGGGAGGGAGGAAGGAGAUACCUUGGGCUUUGUAGAAGUUGAGAAUUUCUCUGACCCUGUGAAGAGAAUGCAGAGAGGAGCUAUGAUGUGGAGCAAGUGUGUGCAGAUCGUGUCUGAUAAAGAGCUCAUCCAGAACAUAAACAUAAUGCUCAGAUCCUGAUAAUAGGAGGGCAACCCAGUGAUGAACUGUUGGGUGGUGUCAUGGUUUGGAUCUGGAACGUCCCCCCAAAACUCCUGUGUUCAAGGCUUGGCCCUCGAUGUAGUAAUGUCCAGAGGACCGCGAGGGGUCUGACCUCAUCACUGGAUUAAUCCAUUUGAUGGAUUAGUGAUUGGAAUGGCUGACUGAGAGGAGGUGGAAGCUAUAGACAGGUGGGGCAUAGUGGGAGGAAAGUGGGUCCUUGGGUGCCCCUUCCUUGAGCUCCUCCUCUUUGCUGCCUGGUUGCCUGGAACUGAGCAGCUUCGGUCUGCAGGUCCUCCACGGUGAUGUCCCACCUGACCUCAGGCCAGGUCAAUGGAGCUGGCCGACCAAGAGCUGAACAUGUGAAACCAUGGAAAAAAUAAAUCUCUCCUCCUUGAAGUUGUGUCAUGUAUUUUGGUCAGUGAUGAACAGCUGACUAACAGGUGGUUUUGAGUGGUUUUCUGGUGACCUGGAACUGUGUUGAUCUGGUCCCGGGGUCCCAACUGUGUGGCUCUGAUUCACACCUCAGGAACUUUUUGAUUCCUGAAUGAACUUUUCAAUUUUCAGAAUUUUGGGUAAAGUCUGCAAAUAGUCCCAAAUCCAAAAAGCUCUGCAGUGGGAAAUACUUCCGGCCCUAGGCAUUUCAGAUAAGGACGCCCAACCUGUAUGCAGUGGCCUGCUGCUCAGAAUCUGGAAAACCUGCUGGCUCUAACGGGCUUGAUUGUGAGAAGCUCUGUGUGCGCCAUGCAGGCUCCAGGUUUGGGGUGUUUCGGGGUGUGUGCCCGUCAGCUGCCUCUCCACAGCCGGCCUGAAUCACCCAGUGCGUGCUGGGUGCUGAGGCAGGGCCUCCCUGCUCUCUCCUCAGGCCCACCCUGGGACCGGCAGGCGCCUCCCCCUGCCUCCCCCUGCCUCCCCCUGCCGUUUGGGCCAUCUGCCGCCCAGCUGUGGGCUUUCCAAACCAAAUGGUAAAACUGCUCAAGGCCCAUUUCGGGGAAUUCCCCCCUACGUUUUCUAUGGGUGCUUUUUGGUUGUAUCCAUUGAUGGGAUUUGUUGUUACCUAUCUGUACAUGCACACAAUGUAACUGUAAUGUGGCCAGGGGCACUCCUCAGCACCCUCUCCAGGGUUUUCCUAAU
rnacentral:lncRNA from 1 species